AUGUCCUCUCUGAGCAGCUCCAACAGCUUCCACUCACUCCCUCACCUGUUCCAGGACACUCACUCCCUCACCUGUCCCAGGACACUUGCUCUCCUGUGCUCUCCUCUCCUCUGUCUCUCUCAGGAGUUUGAUGUCCUCUCUGAGCAGCUCCACCAGCUUCCACUCACUCCCUCACCUGUCCCAGGAUACUUGCUUUCCUGUGCUCUUCUCUCCUUUGUCUCUCUCUCCUGUGCUCUUCUCUCCUCUGUCUCUCUCAGGAGUUUGAUGUCCUCUCUGAGCAGCUCCACCAGCUUCCACUCACUCCCUCACCUGUCCCAGGAUACUUGCUU
ensembl:lncRNA